CCUGGGGCUCGCUGGACCAGAGGUGUCUGUAGGCGGGCGUAGAAGAGUUUGUCCUUUCCUUGUCCGUCUUAAAAGAGAAAUUCUGGUUUCCCUAUGGAGGGACUGACGAAGCAGUCCAGUGGCUGGGGUAUAAUAUUUCAUCCCACUGAUCAGUUACAAAAAAAGGUAAUUCUUUUUUUUUUGUGUGUGUGUGUGUGUGUGUGGUAUUGGGGAUUGAACUCACAACUGCGUGCUUGCAAGGUAGGUGCCUAUGCCACUGAGCUAAAAAGAAAGAUAAUUCUUACAAAUCUUGUCUUUUGGGCCAGGGCUUUAGCUUAGCAGCAUAAGCGCCUGCCUCACAAGCGUGAGGUCAUGAGUUCGGUCCCUGGUACCAAAGUCUUUCUGGUACCAAAGUCUUUUUAACAUUCCUUGGUCCUCCUGUAUUUCAUAAAAUUCCAUGUCAAUAAACUAUGAGGGGUUCCCCAGCCACAAAAAUCUCAGCAUGAUACAAAGCACAGAAUUUUCACUUAAGAAAUUUCAAGAUUCUUUGAAAAUCUUAUAUCAAAAUUUAUAAACUAUGAACAAGUAAUGAUUAUGUUACAUUCUAUGUGUGUUCACAUAGUUCCUCUGGUACAACAGGCUGUGGAGAAUACCCACAAUAAAUUUAUCCCUAAAUUCAUAAAAAAGUCACGUAUUACUGUGACAAAAUUUCAAAUAAACAGUUAAAUAGAGGAAUGAUAUUGAGUCUCCAGAAGAUUAAAAUCUAGGGCAGUUACACUUCUUGAAAGGGAGAAAAAUUUAUAUGAUGCUUA
rnacentral:lncRNA from 1 species